ensembl:snRNA U6 U6 spliceosomal RNA
CUCCCUUUGGUGAUGGAUAUAACAAAAAUUUGACACGAUACAGAGAAGAUUAACAUGGCCCCUGGAUAAGGAUGACAUGUGAAUUCAUGAAGUGUUCCAUAUUUUU